GAGCUAAUUUCGUAUUGGUAGUUUUGUUUAUACCGUCGGUUGUGUUGGCGUCACAUUUUGUAUGCGAAAGCAAGCGCAGCACGUAGUUAACAAAUUUAAAUCAAAUAGCCAAAUUGCUUAGACAAUAUCUAUAGAAAAUUUCUUUUAACUUAUUUACAUGCAUAUGUAUGUACAAUAUAUAUGUAUCUAUGUGUCUCGGUGUGUGUCUGUGUCUACAUUAAAAGCACAUUUCGUCUUUGACUCUCCGGCCCGGAGCAUUGGGCGGCGUGUGUAAGAAAAGCGUUCAAGAAAAAAUGCCGAAAUAGUAUCCAAUCAGAAACCGCAUCCCAAUUAGAAUCAUCUGUUAAGCUACAUGAAAACUUACACAUUUGCCAGCGCGUGCCGCCUACUGGCGUAGGGCAAAGCAAAAGUGUACAAAAACAAAAUUACACAAAAAGUUUAGCAAAAGAAAUUAAAUUGAAUUCGCAACAGCAGCGGCGGCGGCGUCGGCGACGGCAGCAGAAGCGCGAAAAACUAAAUUAUCAUUGCAUAUAUGCAUACAUAUACAUAUAUAGUUGUGCAUAGAUAUGUAUAUAAAAUAACUGUGUGCUGCGUUCGUUUUUUGUGGUAUGAAGCUGCAACGCCAGCGCAACUGUUGCACCCAACUAAAUCGGCGACAAUACGCCCAACAAGAAUAACAAAAACAACAACAACAACGAGCAAGCAAAAGCAGCGGCAGCAGCAUCAGCAGCAGUCGCAGCGAGUGACGUCCAGAGAUUGCGCGCCUUUUUUGUUGUAACGCGCGUCUCUGCAUAAUAAAUGAAAGGAAAACAACAAUAAUAGCUAAACACAUGUUGAUGUUGUUCAAAUUUCAAUUUGGUUAAAGCAAAGCAAAAGGCGCGCCCCGAUAAGAUACAGUUAAACGGAAGAGCAACAAGAACAACAACAACACCAGCGGCGACAGCAGCAGCAGCAGCAGCAGCAGCAGCGGCAGCAGCAGCAGCAGCAGCGGCAGCAGCGGCUACACCUGCAAACGCGAGAAGAAGAAAGAAAUGCUUACAGCAAAAUAAGAAGAAGCAUAACUAGAAUAGUGCUGCGGCGGCGACAGUCGCCAAAGAAUAUGCGACUGUCACACACAUAUGUGUGUGUGUGUGUGUGUGCUCGCGAUUGUUACAUACCAACACCUGCAGCGUGUAAAUGAAAGCAAAACAAAAGCGAAAACAACAACAGCCCACAACCAAAAACUCACAAUGUUAUACAUGCUUGUAAAGUGGCAUUAAAUUGCAACAAUAACAAAAUUCGACAACAGCAGCAACCAACAACAACACAUGGCAACAGCGCCCAUCAAGUGUCAAUAAAACAACAACAACAACAACAAA